AUCAUUAACACGUAUCCAUACGUAUUAUAUACCAAACCGUGAACUUGUUUGUAAAUAUGAAGAAAAAAAAGGAUGAUGAGUUGGUGGCUAGAAAUAGCUUAAUGAGUUAUCUUUUUUUUUGUAUCUUAUUUCAACUUAUAAACCACUUGUAACCAUUUGUACUAAACCUAAGAAUGUGACCGAGUCAAAUCGGACAUAUUUUGUAUUUACGAAACGUAAAAACAAUUCUUAGCAACGGAUAUCUUGGUUCUCGUAACGAUGAAGAACGCAGCGAAAUGCGAUACGUAAUGCGAAUUGCAGAAUUCAGUGAAUCAUCAAAUCUUUGAACGCAAAUUGCGCUUACUGGUUAGCCCGGUAAGCACGCCUCUCUCAGUAUCGGUUCUAUCCUAUCUCGACUGCGUGUCGGAGAAUGGGCCUGUCACUUGCCGAACCAAGUGUCGCUUUAAAGAUAGAGAGUUCUGGGAUCUAGGUUAGGUCCUCCAUAGUAACAUAUAUGGAUAGUUGUUAAGCCAUAGGGCUUUGCCAACUGAUAUGAUCUGACUUGAUUUUAUGUGGAUAAGUGCUUCGGUACGAUAUAAAACAUGUAAUUCAAGACUAGUCAAAAUCAAGGCUUAGUAUCCGACUUAGCUAAUGAAAGCUUAGCUCUAGUUCAGAACGCCGGAGAUAAACAAAAAAGGCCUUGUGCUUUUUUCAAUCUAGAUCUGAGAUGAAGCGAGAAUACCCGCCGAAUUUAAGCAUAUCAAUAAGCGG
rnacentral:rRNA from 1 species